rnacentral:tRNA from 1 species
GCCGUCAUAGCUCAGUUGGUAGAGCGGCUGCCUUGUAAGCAGCAGGUCGUGGGUUCAAGUCCUGCUGGCGGCUCCA